CGGGGGGGUAAGCGUUGUUCGGAAUUACUGGGCGUAAAGGGCUCGUAGGCGGCCAACUAAGUCACACGUGAAAUCCCUCAGCUUAACUGGGGAACUGCGUGUGAUACUGGAUGGCUUGGAUCUGGGAGAGGGAUGCGGAAUUCCAGGUGUAGCGGUGAAAUGCGUAGAUAUCUGGAGGAACACCGGUGGCGAAGGCGGCAUCCUGGACCAAUAUUGACGCUGAGGAGCGAAAGCCAGGGGAGCAAACGGGAUUAGAUACCCCGGUAGUCCUGGCCCUAAACGAUGAAUGCUUGGUGUAGCGGGUAUCGAUCCCUGCUGUGCCGAAGCUAACGCAUUAAGCAUUCCGCCUGGGGAGUACGGUCGCAAGGCUG
rnacentral:rRNA from 1 species